rnacentral:rRNA from 1 species
UACGUAGGUGGCAAGCGUUGUCCGGAAUUAUUGGGCGUAAAGCGCGCGCAGGCGGUUUGCUAAGUCCAUCUUAAAAGUGCGGGGCUUAACCCCGUGAUGGGAUGGAAACUGGCAGACCGGAGUAUCGGAGAGGAAAGCGGAAUUCCUAGUGUAGCGGUGAAAUGCGUAGAGAUUAGGAAGAACACCGGUGGCGAAGGCGGCUUUCUGGACGACAACUGACGCUGAGGCGCGAAAGCGUGGGGAGCAAACAGG